ACCCUGGAGGUCCCAGAACUUGAACUUUGAACCUGCUUUCAGAACCCUUGCGGUUUCCAUCAGAAAGCUAAGUCCCACACUGUUACAGAGAAUUCUACAUGGCUCAGAGAUGGAGGGGGGUGGCAAGACAAGUGACCAACCAUGGCCUCUCCACUAAGGUGCCCUGGGUAGGAGAUAGAGGAAGCCAACAGCAGCCUGUGGUUCUCAGGGAGGGGAACCGUGACUCCGAAGAGCCGUAGCAUUGCUCUCUUCCUAUGACUGUCUCCUGCUCUUUCUCACUUUGAAAAAUGUCUGGACACUCCUAAAAGUUUUCAGUCUCUGUCCAGGGGCUUUUUCUAACCACAAAGGGUAAUUCCUACCCCAUCCCUGCUGUGACUCAGAUGUGACGUCUACUGCACAGCCAGAGAGGAGAAGAUAAAGUCACAGAAAGGUCACCUCUCUCUACAGACUCCACAAGGCUUGUCCUCUGCUCUACUUACAGACCUUCUCUGGCCACCUGAAACUUCAAGAUGGCCUCCAGCUCGGCCAGUGGCCCCCGUCCAGCUCCUGAUGAAAAUGAGUUUCCAUUUGGUUGCCCCCCUGCUGCCUGCCAGGACCCAUCAGAGCCCAGGACUCUCUGCUGCUCAGCCUGUCUCUCUGAGAAGCUGAGAGAUGGUGAGGAUCGGAUCUGUUCCAAGUGCAGAGCAGACAGCCUCCAACCUGUGAGCCCAGGAAGCCUUCUGACUCAGGAGAAGCAACCUCCCCUCCUGUGUGUCCUUAGAGAAUAAUAAUGAGGAUCAAGUUAAUUUCCCUGGAAGAACUGCUGAGCCUCCCUGUCUGGCUGUCUCUGGACCAGCUUCCACAUGGGAACAGACAGACACCUUACUGUGUGGCCUCUGUGCCUUACAUGUGCGGCACAGGAAAUGAGCUCUGUGCUUUCCAAGCCUCGUUUUGUUCUUUCCUCUUAGCAAAAUUAAAACAUGCCACUUAUAUAAAUGUUAGGUAAUAUGGGUCAGAUAUACUUCAAUGUCACUUAAUCUAGCAUCUUUAGUUUUUUUCAUCUUCAUCAAGAUAAAACCAAAUACAAACAGAAGGCUUGGGUGGAAGGAGUGCCUGGAGCCGAGUGAGUGACUUGUAUAGUAGUAAGGCCUUUAUUUCUAGCUUUAAGUGACAUGUGUAGUAAGGCCUUCGUGUCUGACUUUGAGAGAAAUGUUUCAGCAAAGCCUUUGCUAUGUUUGGGUUAAUCAGUCAAGGCUGAGAAACUGUUUUGAGACUAUUUAAACCUUGAAGAGUUGUUUCUCUGGAGUGUCUGCACUGGUGUUACAUGAGAGCUUGCAGCUGCACCAACCCUGAUCCUAGGAUGCUCCUGGCAGACCUGAGUUGUUACUUUUGAUUAUCACUGCCAUAGUCAAAAGGGACUUGGAUUUGUGUGGGUUGUCCUCAGCAUAGCAAGAUGACUUUGGUAGUUGGAACCUUGUCUAGCCCCUAUUAACCUUGUAUGUUUGAAUAAAGUAACUAAAGUGA